GUUCUGGUGGUGUAGUUGGCUAUCACAUGCGCCUCACACGCGCAAGGUCUCCGGUUCGAGCCCGGGCUAGAACA
rnacentral:tRNA from 1 species